CGCCGGAGAAGUUGAUGUGCUGUCAAGGGCUGGGUUGUCUCAGCUGAUUCGGUUCUCUUCCUUCUGUAUUUAAGGACCUUCUUUUUCCUCCUUUGCUGUCCGUCGCUGCCUGGGUCAGUCAAGUUGAGGGGGUGAGAAAGAAGGAGACCCUGAUCAGAAUUAAAAGAAAGGAUAUCCUUAAGAAUUUGAAGUUCUGACGA